GUCUAAAGUGCGUCUGAAGCCAAAAUGCAUCUGAUGACGUCAUCAGAAGCAAAUCCGUCAAAAGCAAGACCUUUAGAAGCCAAUUGUUCAGAAGCUGUAUAACAUCAGAAACUGCAAGUUGAUCAGAAGAUUCAACCUGAUGUUUCUAAGAGCUGUCUAUUGGAUUCAACCUCGUCUAAGAAAGCGAAAGACUAAAAGGAAGGUGCCAACGUUCAUUUGAAAAGCAUUGGGUGCUUGUCCUUCAUUGAAGAGUUGACAAAGUACAAGUGUACAACCACUUCCUCCACGACUCUGCUUGUGUCUAC
rnacentral:lncRNA from 1 species